rfam:Anopheles minimus strain MINIMTS1 unplaced genomic scaffold supercont1.57, whole genome shotgun sequence.
CAAUCGGCUCUUUUCAGAGCCACCUACCGAUUCUCAAAAGAAUAUG